UCAGGUUUGAUCUGGCUCAGGAUGAACGCUAGCUACAGGCUUAACACAUGCAAGUCGAGGGGCAUCAGUUUUGGUUUGCUUGCAAACCAAAGCUGGCGACCGGCGCACGGGUGAGUAACACGUAUCCAACCUGCCUCAUACUCGGGGAUAGCCUUUCGAAAGAAAGAUUAAUAUCCGAUAGCAUAUAUUUCCCGCAUGGGUUUUAUAUUAAAGAAAUUCGGUAUGAGAUGGGGAUGCGUUCCAUUAGUUUGUUGGCGGGG
rnacentral:rRNA from 1 species